GAUGAACGCUAGCUACAGGCUUAACACAUGCAAGUCGAGGGGCAGCAUGGACAUAGCUUGCUAUGUUUGAUGGCGACCGGCGCACGGGUGAGUAACACGUAUGCAACCUGCCCUUGUCAGGGGGAUAAGCGAGGGAAACCUCGUCUAAUACCGCAUAUAUGAUUUAGAGGCAUCUUUUAAUCAGGAAAGAAUUAUCGGACAAGGAUGGGCAUGCGGGACAUUAGGUAGUUGGGGGGUGUAAACCGGGACCACCAAGCCGACGAUGUCUAGGGGUUCUGAGAGGAAGGUCCCCCANACUGGUACUGAGACACGGACCAGACUCCUACGGGAGCAGCAGUGAGGAAUAUUGGUCAAUGGGGCGAGAGCCUGAACCAGACCAAGUCGCGUGAGGGAAGACGGUACUAAGUAUUGUAAACCUCUUUGUCAGGGAACAAAGAGACCACGUGUGGUAAGAUGAGUGUACCUGAAG
rnacentral:rRNA from 1 species